rnacentral:rRNA from 1 species
UUCUGCGAAUUGUUUUGGCAAUUGUUUAUUCCUCUUAAAAAUAGUAGGUAUAGCACUGAAUAUCUCGAGGGAGUAUGAAAAUAUUUAUCUCAGAUAUUUAAUCUCAAAAUAACUAUUUCUUAAAAUAAAUAAUCAGACUAUGUGCGAUAAGGUAGAUAGUCGAAAGGGAAACAGCCCAGAACAGUAAUUAAAGCUCCCCAAUUAAUAUUAAGUGAA